AAGGCGCGCGAUACAGGGUGACAGCCCCGUACACAAAAAUGCACAUAUUGUGAGCUCGAUGAGUAGGGCGGGACACGUGGUAUCCUGUCUGAAUAUGGGGGGACCAUCCUCCAAGGCUAAAUACUCCUGACUGACCGAUAGUGAACCAGUACCGUGAGGGAAAGGCGAAAAGAACCCCGGCGAGGGGAGUGAAAAAGAACCUGAAACCGUGUACGUACAAGCAGUGGGAGCCUCUUUUAUGGGGUGACUGCGUACCUUUUGUAUAAUGGGUCAGCGACUUAUAUUCUGUAGCAAGGUUAACCGAAUAGGGGAGCCGAAGGGAAACCGAGUCUUAACUGGGCGUUAAGUUGCAGGGUAUAGACCCGAAACCCGGUGAUCUAGCCAUGGGCAGGUUGAAGGUUGGGUAACACUAACUGGAGGACCGAACCGACUAAUGUUGAAAAAUUAGCGGAUGACUUGUGGCUGGGGGUGAAAGGCCAAUCAAACCGGGAGAUAGCUGGUUCUCCCCGAAAGCUAUUUAGGUAGCGCCUCGUGAACUCAUCUCCGGGGGUAGAGCACUGUUUCGGCAAGGGGGUCAUCCCGACUUACCAACCCGAUGCAAACUGCGAAUACCGGAGAAUGUUAUCACGGGAGACACACGGCGGGUGCUAACGUCCGUCGUGAAGAGGGAAACAACCCAGACCGCCAGCUAAGGUCCCAAAGUCAUGGUUAAGUGGGAAACGAUGUGGGAAGGCCCAGACAGCCAGGAUGUUGGCUUAGAAGCAGCCAUCAUUUAAAGAAAGCGUAAUAGCUCACUGGUCGAGUCGGCCUGCGCGGAAGAUGUAACGGGGCUAAACCAUG
rnacentral:rRNA from 1 species